GGGGCUUUAACGGUUUCGACAGGUUGGCGAAAGCUACUCUGUGAUUCAGGUCGAGAGCGAGUCAUCUCUCGGAAAUCAAAGACUCAAAAAAAAAGUAAAUGCGAACAAUAUCGUAAAAUUUGCUCGUCGGGAAGCUCUAGU
rnacentral:tmRNA from 1 species